AGCUCAUCUGAUGGGGAGGAUCUGAAUACACAUGAGGAUUAUUGUUCAGAGAGGCCACAGGACACUCAGUCAUCGAAGAAGAGGCCACUCGUGAUCGAUAUAGAUGAAGAUUUGCCUGGUGGCCCUUCAGACAGCUCAGUCGAGAAGCCUUCAGUCGCGCAUACAUGGGAGAAGAGGCCCCGGGUCGGAAAGAUUCCUGACUUUCGAACAUCAACAAAUGGCAGGAAAAGUGCUCUUGAAUCAAAACUAAGGAAAUUCGGCGACAGGAAAUCAGACGCGGUCGUCACUCCUGUGUCAGGGUUGGAGUUUGAUUCUCUAGUUGAGGCAUUUGACUUCUACAACCUAUAUUCCUGGGAGGUUGGGUUUGGCAUCAGAUACGGGACAUCGCGGAAGAAUAUAGCAAAGAGCUUGACAAUGCAG